GGGAUGGGUACAGAAAGAAUGGAAUGCAAAGGGAGGGGGAAGAGGGGAGAACAGAGGGCAGAGCAGAGCCUGGAGUGAAAGGUGGAGUGAAAGGUGGGGUGAAAGGUGGAGUGGAGGGUGGACUGAAAGGCGGGGAGAGCCAGGAGGGAGAGAACAGCCCACCCACAGGGGUGGCAGGUGGGGCAGGAGCCCAGCCAAAAGGUACGGGAAACAGGAAGUAGCCAGCCAGUCGAACUCUGAUCAAGAUACUAGCGACAAAUGGUUGGAGCCCGAGUCCUCAGAAGAGAAAACAGUAAACAAGAAUAUCCCCCUCCACAUUAAAAAAGAACUGAAAGAGGAUACCCUCUCACAGACUGGGGUCAGUUAUUUUUCUAGAGAAAUGAAGAUAGCCACAACUGAAACAGCUGUGACAGAACACUGAUAAACACCUGCUUGUGGAUAGAAGUGAAUGCAGUCUGUGACACCCUUGACUUCACCAGGAGUUCUAUUGGUUGUUGCAAUCUCUGCAGUUUUUGUUUGUUAUAGCUUUCUCAUUUUUCAGUGUUUCCAGAAUUUUAAGAAGGUGUGCCAUUGCUGAGGAUCAGCUGCCAUGGGAGAGGCUUCAGAUUAAACCAACUGCUGCAUGGUUUGAUUGGUCUGGUACCUAAGGCUUCUGAUCAUUUGCUUUGUACAAAUGCAUUUCAACAGUUUGCUGUGCUGUAAGCAUCUCAUAGCUGCUACUAUUGAGAACCUUGUUUUAGAAAUGAGUUAAGAGGCAUCUUUCCAGUUUAAAGCCUAGGCCCUGGCCAAGCCUUGACUUUACCUGAACAGAAUGUUUGCCAGCAGAUCCAGAUGUUUUCUGUACUAAAACAGUAUUUGAGUCAGUUUUUGACUCAGCAAUUUGACCCUAUUAAUAUGACAGCUGGAUCAGUUUUGAAGUGGGCUUGGAGAAUCAUUUCCAGAGAUGAUUACCCAAUCCUUCACAGAUGAUUUUUUGUUUCUGUUUGUUUGCAGAGUAUGGGAUGCUGGUGCAGUGUUUAAGUAAUUAAUAGAAGUUUUAUAUUACAUAUCUUAUUAAAAAUGUUUAAGAUUCAAUUGAUUUUUAAUUGGUAUAGGUUCUUAUUAAUUGUGUAUAUGGUUUUGUGUUGUUGUUGAUGUUUAUACCAGAAGUACAUCUCAUUUUUAUUUUUUUUAAGAAAACGGGGGAAAUUGAUGCCCUAAAAGCAUUUGAUUAGUGUAAUUCAUUAACUUCAAGGGGAGAAGUGUCUGUGUUUUGUUGGCAGGUUCAAAAAGGUCACCUGUCCAUCUGACCAGACUGUCUGCCUCUGAACACAUGAGAUCCAGUGAACAGAAAAGUCACCACACAGCCUUGGUACUCCAGACAUGGAUCAGAAGUGGACCUGUCAGGACACAGUUGUGUCUGAAUACUACAUAGGGAGUUUACCAAUAGAAAUUUUAUGUUGUUAUAAUGAUGCUGUGUCUCUGCCAAUUUUUCAGUUAUCCUUUGUUUUAAGAUUUAGAAGGAUGUGAAUAACAACCUGAACAUCAAAGCCCUCAGUCACCGAUCAGCUGCCAGCUGACAUCACGGGAGCAGUGAAUGUUCCAGGACUGAAUCGUGUUAGAGAAAUUCUGUAGAUCUAAGAAAAGUGUAGAGACUCCAUCUAACUGUAUAUAAAGCAAAUUGUAGUUAUGUGUUUACCCUUUCAGCAAAUUGCUUUCACGCUUAGACUACAUAUAUACCAGAGCAUGUGUGUUAAAAUAGUUAGAUAGUAGUUUAAGAUAAAGAGUUUAGCCUGUGUAGUAAUUGUUAUAUUAGUAUAAAGUAUAAGUAUUCCCCCUUCAAGAGCUACUGUAAGCAUCUUUGAAAGUUCAUUUAACGUUAAUGCCUUAAUUAUGAAUUUGCAAAUAUGAUGUCAUUUGCAUGGAAACAACUGCUUAUAGUAAUUGUGCUGUGUAUAGUCCUGACCAACUGUCUGCUAACAUCCAAAAGUGACAGAACAUAUGGGUCACUCUGGCACAUUGAACUGGCCAAGAUCAAUGUGUUUGAGCCUAGCCACACCUGGAGAUCCUUUUUGCACCUGUCUCAUAGGAGUCCCUGAAUGGGAUCCUCAAGCAUUUAGAGGUUUAGUUAGUAAUGAGACUCGACUGAAUUGAUUGGCAAUAUUACAAGAGUGCAAUUGCACUGUUGGCUUCACAUUAAGACAAUCUGAAGCCUGCUGGCAAGCAAAAAUUACGAAAGUUCUCAAUGUUACCAUAGAACCCCCAGAAGAAUUAGAUUUGUUAAGUUCCACCAAUACCUCAGGUGGAUGGAUAAUGUUUGACCCCCAACAAAAAGUAAUUCCAACAAAGUAAUGCAGCACUGAGCUCCAGUCAACCCUAUAGCUGAUCUCGUUACUACCACUGAAAUUAAAGCCUUUAUUCACAGUGCAAUCUCACAGGAUGAUUACCAAAGCCAUUACCUAGUUCCAUAUUCCUAAUCUGUGGGGACAGAGCACAGAAUGGAAUUCCUGCUAAUCUACAUAGAAGACCCUGUUAUCUUGGGAAACUUCCUUUGUUUCCAUCCAAGCUUACACCAAUUGCUGAAUAUAACUGAUGAAAUAAAAAACAUCAAACAGUCA
ensembl:lncRNA